rnacentral:rRNA from 1 species
UACGGGGGGGGGCAAGCGUUGUUCGGAAUUACUGGGCGUAAAGGGCUCGUAGGCGGCCAACUAAGUCAGACGUGAAAUCCCUCGGCUUAACCGGGGAACUGCGUCUGAUACUGGAUGGCUAGAGGUUGGGAGAGGGAUGCGGAAUUCCAGGUGUAGCGGUGAAAUGCGUAGAUAUCUGGAGGAACACCGGUGGCGAAGGCGGCAUCCUGGACCAAUUCUGACGCUGAGGAGCGAAAGCCAGGGGAGCAAAGCGGG